AGCAGUCGCCACGGGAAUACGGAGGGUGCGAGCGUUAAUCGGAAUUACUGGGCGUAAAGCGUACGCAGGCGGUUUUUUAAGUCAGAUGUGAAAUCCCCGAGCUUAACUCGGGAACUGCAUUUGAAACUGGCAGGCUAGAGUCUCGUAGAGGGGGGUAGAAUUCCAGGUGUAGCGGUGAAAUGCGUAGAGAUCGGGAGGAACAUCAGUGGCGAAGGCGGCCAUCUGGGACAACACUGACGCUGAAGCACGAAAGCGUGGGGAGCAAACAGGAUUAGAUACCCCGGUAGUCCCUGUCUCUUAUAC
rnacentral:rRNA from 1 species